rnacentral:rRNA from 1 species
UGUAAGCGUAUACCAAAGUUGUUGCAGUUAAAACGCUCGUAGUCGGAAUUUGGCAGUUCCGGAUGUGUGCACGUCGUGUGCGCACUUCGCGGGGAUUGCUUUUGUGGUCUUGCGUAGGAUGAGGCACUUUUAUUAGUGAACGUCCUCACGCAACCACUUUUUACUGUGAAAAAAUCAGAGUGCUCAAAGCAGGCAUUUGCCGUGAAUGUAUUAGCAUGGAAUAAUAGAAUAGGACUUGGUUCUAUUUUGUUGGUUUGUUGGGACUGAGUAAUGAUUAAGAGGGACAGUUGGGGGCAUUUGUAUUUCGGUGCUAGAGGUGAAAUUCUUAGAUUACCGAAAGACAAACUGCUGCGAAAGCGUCUGCCAAGGAUGUUUUCAUUGA